GACGAACGCUGGCGGCGUGCUUAACACAUGCAAGUCACGGGGGCCCGCAAGGGCAACCGGCGAACGGGUGCGUAACACGUGAACAACCUGCCCUCGUGUGGGGGAUAGCCGGGCUAACGCCCGGGUAAUACCGCAUACGUUCCCUUGGGGGAGUCCUCGGGGGAGGAAAGCACCGGCGCACGGGGAGGGGUUCGCGGCCUAUCAGCUAGUUGGCGGGGUAAUGGCCCACCAAGGCGACGACGGGUAGCUGGUCUGAGAGGAUGGCCAGCCACAUUGGGACUGAGAGACGGCCCAGACUCCUACGGGAGGCAGCAGUGGGGAAUCUUGCGCAAUGGCCGAAAGGCUGACGCAGCGACGCCGCGUGUGGGAGGACGCCUUUCGGGGUGUAAACCACUGUUGCCCGGGACGAACGGCUCGAUUCGUCGAGCGUGACGGUACCGGGUGAGGAAGCACCGGCUAACUCCGUGCCAGCAGCCGCGGUAACAC
rnacentral:rRNA from 1 species